GGGAAAGGACGCAUUAGGCAAAUCUGAUUCAUCCCUUCAGACCACGUCCCCACAACAGACUUCCUGAGGCCCUGAGGAUUUUGGAUAGUUCCCAUCAGUUGACCUGAGAGCUUCUACAACUUAAAGACUUUUAUUGCAAGCUGCUGUGCUGUGAGCUUCCCUAAGGAGAGAAUCAUCGAAUAAGGAACUGAUGGCAGCUUCUAGCCAACAGCUAGCAAGAAAUUGAAGAUCUCAGUCUGGC